rnacentral:rRNA from 1 species
CCUACGGGAGGCAGCAGUGGGGAAUAUUGGGCAAUGGAGGCAACUCUGACCCAGCAACGCCGCGUGAAUGAUGAAGGUCUUCGGAUUGUAAAGUUCUGUGACGGGGGACGAACACAAUGACGGUACCCCGAUAGCAAGCCACGGCUAACUACGUGCCAGCAGCCGCGGUAAUACGUAGGUGGCAAGCGUUAUCCGGAAUGACUGGGCGUAAAGGGUGCGUAGGUGGUUUGGCAAGUUGGCGGCGUAAUUCCGAGGCUCAACCUCGGCGCUACCGCCAAAACUGUCGGACUUGAGUGCAGGAGGGGUAAGUGGAAUUCCUAGUGUAGCGGUGGAAUGCGUAGAUAUUAGGAGGAACAUCGGUGGCGAAGGCGACUUACUGGACUGUAACUGACACUGAGGCACGAAAGCGUGGGGAGCAAACAGG